rnacentral:rRNA from 1 species
UACCAGCACCCCGAGUGGUCGGGACGAUUAUUGGGCCUAAAGGCAUCCGUAGCCGGUUUUACAAGUCCUCCGUUAAAUCCAACUGCUUAACAGAUGGCUGCGGAGGAUACUAUAAGACUAGGAGGCAGGAGAGGCAAGCGGUACUUUAUGGGUAGGGGUAAAAUCCGUUGAUCCAUAGAAGACCACCAGUGGCGAAGGCGGCUUGCCAGAACGCGCUCGACGGUGAGGGAGUGAAAGCUGGGGGAAGCAAAC